GUCGAGAAUCUUUCACAAUGGGGGCAACCCUGAUGGAGCGACGCCGCGUGGAGGAUAAGGUCUUCGGAUUGUAAACUCCUGUCAUGCGUGAAUAAGGUUGCUUGGAUAAUACCUGAGCAAAUUGAUGGUAGCGCAAGAGGAAGAGACGGCUAACUCUGUGCCAGCAGCCGCGGUAAUACAGAGGUCUCAAGCGUUGUUCGGAAUCACUGGGCGUAAAGGGUGCGUAGGUGGCGUGGCAAGUCAGAUGUGAAAGCCCGGGGCUCAACCUCGGAACUGCAUCCGAUACUGCCAUGCUAGAGUACUGGAGGGGUGACUAGAAUUCUCGGUGUAGCAGUGAAAUGCGUAGCUAUCGAGAGGAAUACCAAAGGCGUAGGCAGGUCACUGGACAGUUACUGACACUGAGGCACGAAGGCCAGGGGAGCGAACGGGAUUAGAAACCCGAGUAGUCC
rnacentral:rRNA from 1 species